AAUUAUUAACUGUUAGAAAAUGUUAACAACAUCUGAUACAAUAUAUUAUACAAUUAAAAUUGUAUUAAACAAAUAAUUUACGCUUAUUUUCUCAUUUUACGGUAUAUAUUAUAAGGUUAUAUUAAUGAAGUUUUUAGAUAGGUAACAAGGUUCCCGACUAACAUUUUUUAAAAAAGAAAAAGGAUCAUAUGGUUGCUUGUGAUUACGGUGAAGAUAUCUGAGGUCAGAGGUAUUUUGACAAGAAAUAUAACUACUAUAAAAACAAAUAUAAUAUAAAAGAUAUUUUUAUCUUUUCGUAAAAUACCGUAUUCACAAAAGAAAUGUGUGAUGAAUGUCGAUGUUUGACAAUCAAUAAGCUCCUAUCUGUAUUUGCAUCGAAUUAAAUAACUUUCGACAAGUACAAAGGAAACAUUAUGAAAGUUUUGAUUUAAGUGUAAAUGUCUAACGAUAAUUUGACUGACUCUAUCUACAGUUAAAAUAAUGGUAAGCCGUUUUUGUGUUUGAUUCCCAUGCCUUCGUUACAAGGUUGAGUAACUUCUCAUGUAAGAUUGUGACAAACAUGCAUGCUUGUAUUUCAUGAUCAGCAUAUCUCUAAGUCUCCUUUAUGGUCAUCAUGCGAGGAGAAUAAAUGUUGUAUUAUUUGUCUAUUCCAUGAAUCAUAUUUCCACGUCUGAACUGAUAUCGCAUAUAUUUUGAUGUACUCGUUUAUAUAUUUAAGAACAGCUUAAAAUAACAAUACCGUUUCCUGUUGUUAGUUUCAGGUUUCGUCCAUAUAAAUGCUGAUCUUUCAAGAAACUUUGAUUUUUUUCAUAAAAUGUCUGUUUUAAAAUAUUAAAAAUGUAAAUUGUCUUUAAGUCUUAUUAGUCCAAUUUACAUGUACACAGAUAAAAAUUACACGGAUUUUAGAUAAGA